UGGGGAAUAUUGCACAAUGGGCGAAAGCCUGAUGCAGCGACGCCGCGUGAGGGAUGACGGCCUUCGGGUUGUAAACCUCUUUCAGCAGGGAAGAAGCGAAAGUGACGGUACCUGCAGAAGAAGCGCCGGCUAACUACGUGCCAGCAGCCGCGGUAAUACGUAGGGCGCAAGCGUUGUCCGGAAUUAUUGGGCGUAAAGAGCUCGUAGGCGGUUAGUCGCGUCUGCUGUGAAAACUCGAGGCUCAACCUCGGGCUUGCAGUGGGUACGGGCUGGCUAGAGUGCGGUAGGGGUGACUGGAAUUCCUGGUGUAGCGGUGGAAUGCGCAGAUAUCAGGAGGAACACCGAUGGCGAAGGCAGGUCACUGGGCCGCAACUGACGCUGAGGAGCGAAAGCAUGGGGAGCGAACAGGAUUAGAUAGCCCUGGUAGUCCAUGCCGUAAACGUUGGGCACUAGGUGUGGGG
rnacentral:rRNA from 1 species